AAAAUAAUUAAAUCGAAAAAAAAACUGCCCCAACUAAAAAUUCGGAGCACUUAUACAUAUCUUUUUCAAGUUUAGUUGGCAGUUGCUGUAUACCCCUCACCAUUGCUACCUCCAGUUCCCCUUUCUACCUUCGGCUCUCAUCUCCGAUGACAAUUCCCGUGUCAAAUUCCAUUGCAGCAGACAACUUCAUUCGGCCUGUGACAAAUUUAUAUCCGACGACAAGUCCCGUGUCAAAUUUCAUUUUCACUUCACUGAAACCCUAAUAUUUCUCUCUCUUACUCUCAGUCUCUGCUCUUUCUCCCAAAAAAUCUUGCUGCUAGGUGCUAAUCGAUCUACUGGAAUCGUUCUACUAAUCGGGCCAAUCAAAUACUCAAGUUAAACUAUUAGAUUAUUCAACACGAAUUUCGUGCGAAUCACAAGUUUUGAGUGCCCUCGUCAACCGCUUGGUACUCUAAACUGUGGAUAUUGUGUGUGUCGCUACAUGCUUGAGACGGUACAGUUGAGAGGACUAUUUAUUCCUGAUAAGUACUAUCAAGGCAUUGGUCCAAACUAUUCUCAGGAGAAAAUUGAUGAACUCAGGGAGUUGUGGAUUACAUAUGUCGGAGAUCAACAUGAAGCACAAAUGAUGAAUGAGUUAUAACUUUCCGCCUAUUUUUUUUUAACCUUAAUCCACUUUUGGACAUACAUUAUAUUUUUGGAUUUGGAUAUUGAUAUAGGAUAUAUUUGAUCUUGUUUAUGAUUUAGAUUAAUAUUGAUAUAUAUGUAUAUAUAGUAGUUCUUUUUAGAAGUUUAGAUUUAUGAAUAUUAGUUGAAUUAUUUUGUAAUAUAAAGAAUUUUGGAAGUUUGGAAUAUCAAUUCAAUUUAUUGGUUAAGAUCU